AUCUCCUGAGACAGCGCUGCUCUCCCCGGUGUGCCGGUGACCUUAGGAGAGUCUCUCCCCCUGUCUCUCCCCCGAUCCUUGCACCAGUCACGCUAAAUUUGAGUUUGCAUGUACUAAAAAGUUUUAAAUCCUUAAUAUAACACAUACCUCUGAUAUACAGCAGAACAGUUUUUAAACGACACUUGUCUUUGUGGCCUGCCCAAAUCCCAGCCGAGGCUAUCCCUACAGGACAGGUCCCUGCCCAGCCUGCCCAUCGGGCUGGGAAUUUACCUGCUCAGAAAAGUGGUCCUGCCUCGAGUUACCCUGUCUGCUCCAGGUUUAAGUCUCAACAUUCACAUUUGCUCAGCCUUUGACAGAAAGCCACGAGAAGGGCUGUGUCCCUGCCAGCCCUUCUGACCAGCCCUGCAGGCAGAUGGAUGGCCUGACUCCUUGCCUGUGGGCAUUUCAAGCAAGCUACAGAGCUGUGUGCACUGCAAGUGCACUGAAAACAGUCCCCCUUCAUUGGGAAAUGCCGAGUGUGAUUUCAAGGCUGUUGCACAGAGCAGGGCAGUGUGGUGACAUCUGCAAAGUAUAGAGGAAAUCAGCUUCCCUGAAAGCCUUCCACCUUGGAUGUUACUGUAGGCCCACAGGACUGGGCUGGAGUCAGGGACAGGCAAAGCUGUGUCCUCGCUGGGGAAAGAUGCUUGAUCUCCCACUGCCCCAGCUGAUGAGUCUCAGGUUUCUGGUGGAUGUUGGCUAGAAAGCCUUCAUGGACUGAAGCUCAUGCUGGCUUGCAUAAAGAAAACUACAUAGACUGCAUGAACAGCCCUACUCCUUGCAGCCAGUUAAAACCAAAGUAAACACAGAUCAAAACCACCCAGACCUGUCCAUUCCUCUUUUGCUGUAUAUUUUAAAACACAGGCAAAUGAAAGAGGAACUGGACAGUAACUGUAUUCCUCAUUAUCUGACUUUUCCUCAGGCACAGGGAAUGGGUUUGGCUGUUGGCAGGCUGGCUGGUCUUACUGUGUCUGCACAGAGUCUCAGAGUAGCUCAUGCAUGCUCCCAGGGGGCUCAGUUACUCGGAGGCAUAAAUAAGUGCUUUCCAGAUUAGGGGUUUGGUCAGAGCUGCAGAAACAUAAAGUCUGUGGUUGCAGUCCUGGCACGCUGAUAAUGUAACUGAAAGCUGCUGGACUAGGUCAGGCCCCAGACACCAGCACUGGGGGGUGUCUGUGGGGUUUGGUUGAAGAGCCAGACAGCAGUGGGGAGGUAAAACUGGAAAAGAAGGGCUGCAGCUGAAUGCUGGGGGUGGGAAAACCAAUCCUACAGGAGAAUAUCCCUCAAUUGUCCAUCACACCAUCAGGCCUAGCUGAUGGCAAACAUGCCUGGGAUGGUGCAGACAUAGAACAAUACAUAAUGUGUAUCAUACUGGCAUAAAAAGAUGAGGAAUGCCUCUAAAAUUCCUGCGUUUCCUUGAAGUCAUUUUGGUCUUGUGUGGCCAGCCUGUGCUGCUGGUCUCUGUCCCCACAGCUGUGCUGGCCAGCUGGGGUUCUGGCCAGGCUAGAUGACAACAGCACUGAUUCUAGGUGCCACCUGAGACUGCCUCAUACUGAGGGUGGUACAGGGAGGGACAGGAGAGGAGAAACUCUGGGACUUGCUUUGGUUACAAUCUGAACUAUCCACUGGUGUUUACUUUUCUGUGCAGGCAUUGUGGAUGCUCCAGAGACCGGGACAGGGACCUCAGUGGACACCAGAGGGUGUGGAGGGACCAGCAGGGGCACAGAGGCAGGGCCAGCUCCUUGGUCGGGUGCUGGAACUGAGAAAGCAAAUCCUGUCUGCUCGUGUGAGUGCGAGGGAACAGAAGAGCUGAGGCAUGGCCAUGAGUUCAAAAGCGAGGCUGGCAUCCGGCGAGGCCGCUGUGACCCCGGGAGCUGCAGUGUGGCACUGCGUGUAUUUGACAAGCUGAGUCCGACACUCAGUGUGCAGAGUGUCAGUUUGUCAAAUACCCCAAGUGAGGCACUGCUGAGCAACGCGACGCCGAGGGUGCAGCCCUUUCCUCCUGCUCUGGCAGGAGCCUUCCUCUCCAGAAACCCACCGAGGUACUGAGCAGCCCAUCCCAUUGCUCCAGAACACCUGACGGAUCCUGUGCUGCCAGGUUUCCCUUCCACCCCGGUUUUGGAAGUAUCUGUUGGGGUACCCCUCCCAGCAGUAAAUCAGAGCAGAAGUGGUGCUGGUGCAACUUCUCUGCACUGUGAAGACAGGGAAUUGUGCCCUAGGUCCUUCCUUGUUGUUUGCAUCCAAAUACAAUGCUGUUCUCUUACACAGCAUUAACUAGCCAGCUGUAAAUGAAGCUCAGUUAACAAGGAUCCCUGCAACUAUAAUCACAACAUCAUGGCUAAAGGCAGCAUUAUCCAUAAUAAAGAAUCUUGCCUUUGCACAUGUAAUAAUCUUUCUUAUAUGGAGUACAAACUAAUGAGGCUGCUCAUUAACUUCCCUCUGACCCAUUGGCCUGUGAAAAAUGCAUGUUUGCUCAAUCUGUUUUAAAUCAGUCCAUGGAGUCCACAGCCCCUCCUGGGAAUCCUGCAGUUUGGAGAACACUUCUUGUCUUUGCGUGGUUAUUCACAGUCAGCACUUGAAGCAAUGUUGCCUAUUCUGCUAUUUAAUGAAAGUAAUUCCCUCUAAA